GGCGGGUCCGAAGGUAGCGAGUUAUCUCACUUAUUGUUCACAAUCAGUUAUAGAUUGAGCUCCUGUUCUACUACUUUGCCCCCUUCUUACUACUGCACUUCACUAGUUUUUU
rnacentral:Y_RNA from 1 species